UGUACCACUGUUACAGAUUUUAUAAAAGGAGAGGGCAGGGUACACUUUCUUCAGAAACUCACACAACAUCAGAGUGGGCUGCUUGGCUGUGCUAGCCAAGUGAUAAUGCCUCGGCUCCUGGAAUCCUGAAAUAAUAAAGAAGAUGUCAAGGCACAGACCAAGUUGUAAGGACCCUUGCCAUAAAGUUCCUCCAAGCAGGAGGAACAAAAAGUGCAGGAUCAUCUAUGACGUGCCACUAAAGAAAAAGAAAGGCUAUGUACGUGUGUGCGCCACAUACUACUACUGGAGAGGAGGGAAAAAAUGAUUUCCAGCAAUUCCCCCGCUCUUUUCUUUGGAAAGUCUUCAACAGCAGCAAGUCACCAUCGGACAUCUUCCAUGAUAAUGAAACGCAUCAGCCAAGCCACCAAUGAGCUGAAGUUUUCAAGAUUUGGGAGCAUUCUUAUAACAGCAUGAAUGCUACACUUGUCUGUUUGUCAAUAAAGGGGGAAAAACC